GGGCUGCAAGACCGCAAGGUUUAGCCAAUCCCAUAAAUCUGUUCUCAGUUCGGAUCGCAGUCUGCAACUCGACUGCGUGAAGCUGGAAUCGCUAGUAAUCGCGGAUCAGCAUGCCGCGGUGAAUACGUUCCCGGGCCUUGUACACACCGCCCGUCACACCACGAGAGUUUGCAACACCCGAAGUCGGUGAGGUAACCUUUAUGGAGCCAGCCGCCGAAGGUGGGGCAGAUGAUUGGGGUGAAGUCGUAACAAGGUAGCCGUAUCGGAAGGUGCGGCUGGAUCACCUCCUUUCUAAGGA
rnacentral:rRNA from 1 species